rnacentral:rRNA from 1 species
AUGGUGAAAGCAGCAUCAUUUGUACGACUUGGCAAUGGCCAGAGAGCCAAAUUUUGGAUGGACAAAUGGCUACCGGGUGGGAGAUCCAUCGAAGAAAUAGCUCCGGCUAUGUUCUCCUUCGUACAAGACAGAGGUCACUCGGUACACGAUGCCCUAUCUACUUCGGGCUGGAUCAGGGACAUUUCAGGAGGUAUUUCAAUUCAGGCCAUGGCGCAAUAUCUUCGGGUCUGGGACCUUGCUCGGCACACCAUCCUAUAUACUGAAGCUUGGGAUAGUUUGGUGUGGAGGUUGACGGGGGAUCUUAACUUCUCGGUCAGCAGUGCGUAUGGUUUGUUCUUUGCGGCAAACAUGCGCUUGGUGUGCCAUAAACCAAUCUGGAAAUCUAAAGCUCCGCUAAGGUGCAAAUUUUUCAUGUGGCUGGUCAUCCACAAGAGGUUUUUGACGGUGAAUAAUCUUCAGAGAAGGGGCUGGCCCGCAAAUGAGAUAUGCACACUCUGUUCCUCAGCAGGUGAGGACUGCGCCCAUCUGUUCCUAGCUUGCAGCUUCACACACCAGGUAUGGGCGAAAUUCAGAGAAUGGACGAGGGUGCGAUUUACCAUUCCUGGGGAACAAUUUCAAAGCUCUGAAUCCUGGUGGCUCAGUUCUCGCAAGGAGAUUGUGACGCCCUGA